GAGGAUCAAGUUGCAUCCACUGGGGGACAGAUGCCAGAUAUGGACAAGAGAAAUGCUCAAACUGACCCUAGAACACCUUCGCAAGCUUUUACAAGCAAGUCACCCAAGAAGGGUAAAGGUCGCCAACCAUGCAAGAGGAGGACUUGGAAUAAAAGGGAGGUCCUUGCAGUCGAAAAGCACUUGAUGGCAUUCAUCAACACCUGUCGAGUUCCAGGGAAAGCAGACUGCGAUAAGUGUUUAAAACAGGAACCUGAUGCACUUAGACACAGAAAUUGGCUGGCGGUAAAGUUUUACGUUAAAAAUCGUAUAACAGCUCUUAAAAACAAAGUUUAAAAACAUUUAAUUUCAUGCUGCUUUUAGUUACUCAGCCAUGUCAUAGACAUUUCAGUUUCCUGUUGUCUUUUUUUUUUUUAAUAUAGAGAUAAUAGUAUAUCUUUUAGUUUUGGCUUUGUUGCAAUACCUUUUUUUACUGACCAUAAUUUCAGUUUGUACUUUUUAAGUUCAAUUGUUGGUUUGUCAAACAUUUACAGGAAAACAAACCAUCCUGUCAAGAGCUUGGUUAAGCAAUAAAUGUUCAUUCUUCAGCAUA